UACAGAGGGGCAAGCGUUGUUCGGAAUUACUGGGCGUAAAGGGUGCGUAGGUGGUUGCGCAAGCCUGAUGAUGAAUCUCCGGGCUCAACCCGGAAAUGGCAUUGGAAACUGCGUGGCUAGAGGGUUGGAGGGGGACUGGAAUACUUGGUGUAGCAGUGAAAUGCGUAGGAUAUCAAGUGGAACACCAGUGGCGAAGGCGAGUCCCUGGACAACACCGUGACACUGAGGCACGAAAGCUAGGGGAGCAAACAGG
rnacentral:rRNA from 1 species